AUUUUGUUGCUGUUAAAAAGCUCGUAGUUGGAUUCAGAGCUGAAGGUUGCAGUGUGGCCCUUUGUAGCGAUUGCGCCGCGCCUUCGGUGUGGUCUUCGCUGCUUUGUGGAUCAAACCGCACUGCGUUCGACCUCCACUCUUCAUAUACGGAACCAGUGGGGCAGCGUAAGCAUCCUUAAUUGGUUGUGGAAGCACAUACGCAUUUAACACAUGCUUAUGCCCCUGUCCGUAGGUGUUGCCGUGAACAAAACAGCGUGUCCAAAGCAACCACGUGUUUGGCUAAAUGAUCUAGCAUGGAACAACAAUGGAUCGACCUCUGCUGGUCAUCCUUUUUGUUGGUUUUCAAAGACCCAGAUGGGCAAUGCAGGGCUUGUGCUUCAGCGAGGCUCUUGGUUAGUUGCUUCUGUAGCUUUCCUUCCUCGUCUGGACCCUGUCUCCUAUCGGUAUCAAUGAAGGCUAUCGGGGUGGUACGUAUUCCAGCGUGAGCGGUGAAAUGCUUAGACCGCUGGAAGACGAACGACAGCGAAGGCAUUCCGCCAGAAUGUUUUCAUCAAUAAAGAACGAGAGUGUGGGGUUCGAAGAUGAUCAGAUACCAUCGUAGUCCAUUACCGUAAACGAUGCCGACUCGGCAUCGAGAGUUUGUUCAUGUUGAAGACUCUCACGGCAUCUCCCCCACUAACGAGAAAUCCAAGUCUAUGGGUUCAGGGGGGAGUACAGUCGCAAGUCUGAAACUUAAAGGAAUUGACGGAAUGACACCACAAGGCGUGGAUUGUGCGGCUUAAUUUGACCCAACACGGGGAAGCUUACCAGGUCAGGACACAGUAAGGAUUGACAGAUUGAAAGCUCUUUCUUGAUCCUGUGGAUGGUGGUGCAUGGCCGUUUCUGGUUCGUGGAGUGAUCUGUCUGCUUAAUUGCGUUAACGAACGAGAUCUCUGCGUCUCAAUAGGCACCGGUCUCGCACACAAGUAGGGAUGUGUUGGGGGUCCUCGAUCCCCUUCCGUCCUGAGAGGCCGGCACGCUUCUUAGACGGACUGUGCAUGUUCUCAAUGCACGGAAGAGGGAGCCAAUAGCAGGUCUGGGAUGCUCCUAGAUGUUCUGGGCUGCACGCGCACUACAUUGACGCAGUAAACGAGUUGCAUCUGCUUCGGCAGUUCUGCUUGGAAGUGAGUGCGGGAAAUCUUUGAAACCUGCGUCGUAACUGGGAUAGUUGAUUGCGAUUAUUUACCUUCAACGAGGAAUGCCUAGUAGAGACACUUCAUCAGAGUGUCUUGAUUAUGUCCCUGCCAUUUGUACACACCGCCCGUCGUUGCUACUGAUUGGCUGUAAAAUAGAGGUCUUAGGAGUCGCCCCUCGACGCUUCGGCGCCGCAGGUAGUGACAAAUCUGACCAAUAUUUCACCGCUAGAGGAAGCAAAAGU
rnacentral:rRNA from 1 species